ensembl:lncRNA
CGUUUGCCUGCUGCUUAUGUAUUCAUGAAAUAGUAAAUAAAUUUUAUGGGAUAAUGUGAAGGCUGCCAGGGAGCAGGAGGAUGAAAACUAACCCCUAAUGAGCUUCCGUGUCAGUUUGGCACACUCGGGAUCGAUCUGCCGCUUCCAUUUAGCGCCCGCGUGUGGGGGUGGAGGUGGUGCUUCCUCGGUACAGCCCUGAGCAUCACUGGGCACGGGGUAAUGAGUGGGACAGGGUGAUGGUUUUGGAGUUGGGGGGCUGCUUUGGAAGGAGCACACAGGUUUGCAUGGGAGAGAUGAAGGCAGGGAUGCAGGAUUGCACAGGAGGAAUACUGAAAGGAAUGCAGGCAGGGAUGCAGGAUUGCAUGGAAGGGAUGGAGAUUUGCAUAGGAGGGAUGCAGGGAGGCAUGGGGGCUCGUAAAGCGAGAAUACAGGGAGAGAAGCAGGGAGGGAUUCAAGCUCUCACAGGAAAAAUGCAGUCUUCCCAGGCUGCAGCUCAAAUCCAUCCUCGCUUGUCCUGAACAAAGCCAGGAAGCGUGCUCUUCUCCUCCUCCCCUGCAGCUGGUGAUGCGUUUGGAGGCAUUAAC